rnacentral:tRNA from 1 species
GCGGUGUUAGUUUAGUGGUAGAAUGGGACCUUGCCAAGGUCCAGACGGGAGUUCAAUUCUCCCACGCCGCA